UACAGAGGGUGCGAGCGUUAAUCGGAAUUACUGGGCGUAAAGCGCACGUAGGUGGCUUUGCAAGUCGAUUGUGAAAUCCCCGGGCUUAACCUGGGAACUGCAGUCGAGACUGCUCUGCUUGAGUAUGGGAGAGGGAGGUGGAAUUUCCGGUGUAGCGGUGAAAUGCGUAGAUAUCGGAAGGAACAUCAGUGGCGAAGGCGACCUCCUGGACCAAUACUGACACUCAAGUGCGAAAGCGUGGGGAGCAAACAGG
rnacentral:rRNA from 1 species